rnacentral:rRNA from 1 species
UACGUAGGGGGCAAGCGUUGUCCGGAAUCAUUGGGCGUAAAGAGCGUGUAGGCGGCCCGAUAAGUCCGCUGUGAAAGUCCAGGGCUCAACCCUGGGAUGCCGGUGGAUACUGUCGGGCUCGAGUCCGGAAGAGGAGUGUGGAAUUCCGUGGUGUAGCGGUGAAAUGCGCAGAUAUCAGGAGGAACACCAAUGGCGAAGGCAGCACUCUGGGACGUGAC